rnacentral:lncRNA from 1 species
AGAAGAAGAAGAAGGAGAAGAAGGAGAAGAAGAAGAAGAGGAGGAGGAGGUGAUGAUGAUGAUUCUCCUUCUACUUUCCUUUCUGGAGUCUAGUCCAGGAGAAACAAGGGUCGCAGCUCUGAGGCAUGGACACUGAGUAUUGAGGCAACAGGAAUGAGCCACCAAUGACUUCUCAGAGAGAAAAGGGAGGAGUCAGCAGGAGUGAUCUUCGGUGAAGAUUUCAAAGAAACAAGGAUCCUGGAUAUAUCCCAUCAGCUCUUUUGACGCAUCUGCC